UACGGAGGGUGCAAGCGUUGUCCGGAUUUAUUGGGUUUAAAGGGUGCGUAGGCGGCCGAUUAAGUCAGCGGUGAAAUCCCGGGGCUCAACCCCGGAACUGCCGUUGAUACUGGUUGGCUUGAGUUCGGUCGAGGCGGGCGGAACUGGCGGUGUAGCGGUGAAAUGCAUAGAUACCGCCAAGAACCCCGAUUGCGAAGGCAGCUCGCUGGGCCGAAACUGACGCUGAGGCACGAAAGUGCGGGGAGCGAACAGG
rnacentral:rRNA from 1 species